CUUCGUUCUCGUGGAAUCGGGACAAACGACGUAGAUAGCCGAGCGUAGCCGAGCGCUCAUUUCCGUUUUCGAAUCCGACGUCACCUACUCUCAAAGCCCGUGUGUUUUGUGUUUCUUUGGGGCCACGAUGAUUAUCGCUAAUUUAACGUUGAAAUUAUUGAAAUUGAAAUUAGAUCUGUUUCUAUCGUAAAAACAUCUAAGACGGAAAAGUAACAAAAGAUUUUUGCUUAACUAUUAAAAAAAAGGAAAGGAAACAACUGUAACGUAAUAUAAAAGUGAAAGAAAUUUAGUCUACUAAUUUAUAUCGUCACGGAAUCUUGAACAAAAUGGGCAUUCAAGAUUUACAAGUCUUUUUGGAUGGCAAUUUUGUACAAGGAGGAUCUGUACCUGUGGAUCUGUUGAAAAUUGCACGUACAGUUAUUCAAAGACAACACAAUCGUAUUGGUAAAACGCAGCAAUUACAGUCAGGAAAAUUAAGGCUAGUCCUCGACGGAGAGUGUUGUCUAGACAGAUUAUACGGAGGAUAUUUCUCAGACUGGGCAUGCGGAGGACAGUGGAACAGAAUGCUACAGUUUUUAGUAGUCCUUAUUCAUGCAACCGAAGCGUCAAGGUUGGAGUUAGCUGUAUUCUUCAAUGGUUGUUUCGAAUCUCCUAGACGAGCAGACUGGAUUCAGAACCAAUUGCAAGUGCGAAUUAAAGUAAAUAAUGUACUAAAACACAUUUCAACAAAGGGCACACCGCCGCCAAAAAUUUGGUGGACUCCGCCUGUGUGCUUGAGAACUAGUCUACGUAUGGCAUUAAGACAUCUGAACGUUACAGUUUUAUGUAGCAUGGAUGACCAUCAUCAAGAAGUGAUCGCUUAUUGCCGUGAGAACAAUUUUAAUGGCUUGAUAGCCGACGAUGCAGAGUACGCCGCGUUUGACCCACCGAGAUACUUCUCGUCCGAACAGUUAAAGCUUACGUACAAAGGAUCUCUGGAUACGAAGGAGUAUAUUCUCCCCGAUGUUCUGAAAUCGUUGAACAUACCAUCCGACAGGCUGUGUCUUCUAGCCGCGUUACUUGGAAAUUACAUUUUAACCGAAACCGACCUGGCUGAUUUUUACAAGAAACUGAACGUCAACGCUAGUUUUAACAAAGUCAACGUGGAGCAUACGAUUAAAACGAUCGCCAAUUACGUACGGGACCUUCCAUCCGUCGAACCCGACGUGGUCGCGCAAAAAGUUUUCGGCUCCUUGUCGGAUCCGAGGUGUUCGAAGCUGAGGCAGUCGGUUCAGUACUACAUAAACGGAACUAAAGAGGGAUUCUUGCAUUACAAACCGGUGAAACCGAACAGAGACGUUGUUUCAGUACACAAAAUAGAUUCGAAGCAGAACGUGCAACAGCAGUCAAAUUUAUCAGAAACACCGUCGACCUCGGAGGUGGAUUCAAAUUUGGAAACGUCGAGAUUCGCUUCUGAAACGGUGGAAAGCGAACGGGAGAGUUUAAACGCGUACAAACAGGCAACAGCGAACGCGAAGUCCGCCCCUCAAAUUGUGAUAGAUCCGCCGGGUCUUCAGGGUCACGGAGACGCCGACAAUAUUAGAAGCGAAGACGAGCAAAGUAACGGGCACGCGAUUAACGGUACACACAAUCUUCUAAUUAGUUCGUCAAGUUCGAGUAGCAGCUCGUCCGCCACGUCUCCGUCCCAUGCGACGGCCGAUUCGGGGAAACAAGGGGAAAAGAUAACCAAUAUUCCUACCACGGUGCCGGAAGUAAUGCGCACCGCGUCUGAACGACAUCAGAAAGGAUUGAUGUCACCGCAUAUUUAUCAAAUUCUCAUCGCCGGCGAGAUUAAAUUGCCUGUCCUACUCGAGGACGAAAAUCACCGUGAAUUCCCAUCUAUUCAUCUUAUUUAUAGACCUGUGAGACAGAUGGUAUACGCGAUAUUAUUUAAUCUACAUCACCGAAUGUAUUUAGCUGCUAAGAGUAAAGAGAAAGGAGAUAGUGAAAAAAUAGAAGUCCCAGAUGUUGUGAUAAAGGAGUGGGUAUGGUCCAAGUCAAAUCCAUACCAAACUCCUGAAUUAGUUAAGGCGGAACAGAUUGGCUGGGGUGUUCCUACGAUUCAGCGUUUGUGGUUUGGGACAGGUAUAGACGACAAACGCCGUCGGUUGCGAGGAUUCUUGACCUGUAUGAGGUCGGAUACGCCUCUUAUGUUAAAUACUUCUUACGUACCGCAACACCUUUUAGUCAUGGCAUGUGUACUAAGAUAUAUUAUGUCGUUUUCUGAUAAAAUAAAGAUUCUACGUCGUCAGGAGUUAGAUGCUUUCAUUGCACAAGCAUUUUCACCCGAGCUUAUGAACGCUCAGUAUUUACAAGAUCUCCAGCUUCCUUUAGUGACAUCGCGCGGAGUACAAUUAGCUACAUUGUUUAUGACCGGCGUCGAGACCGCUCUUUUAGCCAACGACGCCUGCGGGGCGCCUAUCCCGUGGCUGAUGUGCUGCCCGUGGUUGUACUUCGACGGGAAACUGUUUCACCAUACGUUAGCUCGCACUAUGAUCGCGAAAAAUUUACUGGAACUUUGCAGUGGUUACAUCGAUCGUGUCGUGAAAGUCGAACGAAUGAGGAAAGCUGUACUGGAGGGUAUUAAUGUUAUUUAUGCGCGUACACCGUUACCCGUCUCGAGAGCUAUUCCUGUAUCGGUGCCGCAGAACAUUUUAAGCGGAACGAUGCCCCAACGCGGCUUGAUGCGUCGCCCAAUACCGUCCCGGGGUGGACAGUUAGAAAUCGCUGGAGUGGUGGUGGGACAGUGGGGCCCAAAUUACGGCCAACCUGGCCGCCUACCUCAGCCCCUGCAGGGACAUAUUCGUGGACGGAUUCCGCCACAGGUAACGUCGAUCGGCGGUCUCAAGUAUGGUCUGCCGCGAGGCUUCAACCCAAUGGGUCGACCCACGUUUCAAACCCGUGGUACUAACCGUACGCAACUGGCAGGACGUGGGAAAAAGACGCAGAUGAAGGCAACUGGUAAAAAGAAGGCUACCGUUAAAAAGAACAAAGAAAAUGAAAAGAAAGAGAAUAGAGGACGUGGUAAUAACAUCGAUGGAAUAACUGAUUAUAACGAUACGAUUCCAAACAUGAAUGCAACAAAAGAUGCACUGCCAGUACCAGGUCAAUUCGAGGACGCUGUUGAGAAUAGCAAAGGGAUAGAAAAAGGGCAGGGUGAUGCGUCGCUGGUCGUUCCAGUCGUCGCUGAAAAUUAGGUAUUUAUACGUCACCUUUUUAUUGACUUUUAAACCUCCCGGAUGUGACUCAAGACUGCAAUUAAAAUCUUAGAACGUGUAACGAGUAAUCAUGCGGCAAUUACAUUUGAAGGUUUAUACACGUGAGAAUAUUCACCAUAGUACUAUUGUUUUUAUGUAUACACAUAAGGAAUAAUAUUUAAGAUCAUUUAUGACAUUCUUUUCACAGUUCAGUUCCUUUUAUUUCUUUCUUCUUUAAUUCAAUCACAUUAGAUUUUGUAUAGCCGGAAAGAACCUUCAAAUGUUACACGCAGAAGGACUCAACAAUGUCUAAAGCUCUGAUGGGGCCAAAACUAAUUAAACUAAUAUAGGAGACAAAAGCAUCGGUUAACGCGAUGUCAAGAUAUGUAACACAAGGAUAGACCCAUUUCCGACGUACACGAUACGAUGUCCUCACUGCCAAACGUACCAUUCAGUGUGUAAGAUAAGAGCGAAAAUGAAACAAAAAAAAAAAAAAAAAAGAAUUGUGCUUGUGUUAACACGAGCGUGUUUGAACUACUCCGCUCGGAAUCACCAUAAGGAUGAACUCGACUGAUUAGUGUAUGCGUGCGCUAAUUUUACUAAAAAAAAAAAAAAAAAAAUUAGAAAAAAGAAAAAAAAAUGGAAAAAGAAAAAACAAAAUACGAGAGAGCAAAGUCGUCAGCUGUUAUAAGUAUUUAAUUCUUAAGAAGCGUGAUUAUUUUUUUUACAAUGAAAAUAUAUAUUUUCCGGUAUUAUAUGAAAUGCGAGCAUUGACACUCUUGGUAUUCUGAUCUGGUCGCGAUAAUUCUAGUGUAAACGAACGAUAUAUUAUAAUAAUAUAGGGAAAACGAAUUUACAUGGACGUUGACGGACGAACAAAAUCUACUUAGGACGUGUACAGAGAGACCCAGUACUGCGGAAUAGUUUACUGGUUUUUGUUUUGUAGAUAAACCGCGAGGCAGGAUACUGAGAAUAUUCAUUAGCAAAUGGAGACUGAUGCUUUUCAUAUAGAAAAAAGCAUCGUUUAAAGAGAGGAGAAAAUGUUGAUGCACGACUGUGAAUGCGAAUAUAGGAAAUGAAAAAUAAAUAAUGUAUAUAAACGUGGGAUGUUAAUAGCGUGUCGGUCCAUGUACAUGCGCGUAACAUAUGAAAUAACGAACAAGUAUCGUGUCCACGCUUGUACGCGGCCUGAUCGAUAUAUUUAUUUGCUGUUGCGUCGAAAGGAGAAAGGAACGAGUGAUUUCGGAACGAAUUACAAAUUUCCAUGUAUGAUAAGAUUUAAAAAAUAUGUACCCUAUGUGAUCCACGGAGAGUGUAUCGUAAGAGUAUCGGGUUUGAAUUUUGGAAAGAAAAUGAAAGCUAAGUUCUUCGAAAGAGCGUUCUCUUGCGGAUACGCUUCCGGUAUCGUUUGAAAAAUAUGCUACAAGCGUGUUGAUCACGCGAAUUUUCCAUGCGUUAAUCAGGGAUAUAUUUUUCAUUUGGUUGAACGAAACGAGAACCAAAGAGCGCAUAAUAAAUUCUACCAAAAGUUUGUUUCAUUUUUUUUUUUUUUUUUUUUUUUUUUUUCAACUCAGAUUGAAAAUUCUGAAGGGAAGACACUCGCUGUUGCGAUAAGAGAUUUGCCCCCUUCUGUAGCAUAUUUUCAAAGAUAUGUAUGUCCCCCGUUUAAUUGUACAUAUGAAUAGUUUACUUUAGAAGUGGCGUGAGAUUGGUGUACAUAAAAAUGAAUAGCCGGCGAUCGUAUACUUGAUGCGCGCGACGGCAUAAAAUAGGAGAUGAUUAUGUUUAAAAAAAAAAAAGAAGAAGAUACUAUUUAUGCGUAGAAUAGUCGGAAAGACGUUCUAUCAAAGAUUCAUUGGAGUUUGAAGAAUGGAAGGUGUUUUAUCAGUAAAAUAUGAUAAUUAACAGAGAAACAAGACAGAACACGGUUAUUAAGGAAAAGAUCAAAAUGGUAAAAAAAAAAAGAAUAUUGGGAAAGAUGGAGAUGUGUCUAAAGUGCAGAAGUAACAUUAAAAUAAAUAAGAGAAUGAACGAGAGAGAGAGAGAGAGAGAGAGAGUUAGAGAGAACGAUUGAGAGAGAGAAAACAAAAACCAUUUAUUGAGAUAAUAUAAUGAGAGAUAAGAUAAAAAUGUUAUAUUUUUGUAGAUUUGUUAUUGCGUAAAAUGCAUUAAGACAAUGAGAAAACUUUAUAUAAUUUGAGCGACGGUUAAACUGAGCCUGAAAGAGUUAUGCGAGUAAUUAAGAUCGUGAAGAGAAUGGUAUUAAAGAGAUGAAAAAAGGGGUGAACAAGUGCUUUAGACGAGAGACGAUGGUAUGUUGAACAUGUUUGACAUCCGUGAUUAAAAAGAAAGAAAAAAAAAAAAUAAUAAAAUAAAAUAAAUAUCUCGUUAAUUUUUCUGUGUCUCCGAAGCGCUCAGUGAUCUGAGUUGCUUGUAAUAAAUGAAACCUAAGAAGGAACAAUAAGAAGAAAAAUAUGAAACCAAAAACAAAUUGAACAAAAAAAAAAAAAAAAAGAAACUCAAUGUCAACUUUCAUUGUGAGCUAUCUAUCAGCGUAUGCAUAUAAUAAACAGUUUUCCCAAUGCGAUUCAAAGGAACGAACAGAGAAAUGAAAUCUCAUCGAUGGAACUAUAUUUCAUAGAUAUAAAGAAAAAACUAAUUUGCGCUAUCAUUUAAUGAUUCAAUAUACAGGGUGUCCUAAAAAGAGUGUUAAUCCUUAAAGGGGGUGGUAGCUGGGGCGAUUCUGAACAACAUUUUCCUUUACGAAAAUAUUGUUUGAAGCUUCGUUUUUGAAUUAUUAAGGAAAAAUAGUGGCGAAUCAGAGCGUGCAUAGCGCGUGGGCGCAGGAUUCGAGGUUGCCGUCCCUGAGCCCGCGCGCUACGCGCGCUCUCAUUGGUCAGGGGUUUUUCCUAAAUAAUUCAAAAACGAAGCUUCGAACAACAUUUUCGCAAAGGAAAAUGUUGUUCAGAAUCAGCCCAGCUACCACCCCCUUAAAGGACUAACACUCUUUCUGGGACACUGUAGAACAUAGAUACACGUUGUUUUCCCAAGUACUGUAUAAGUGCACAGAUGUAUGCAGAAACAAAAACAAAACGACAAAAAAAAUACGCCAUGUAUCUUCCUUGAAUAUUCCAAAAUUAAUAAUCGACGUAUAAACAACUUAUAAACAUAAUAAAAAGCUAGAAGCAGUGACUUUUCAGAUCUGACGGAUGAAUAUUGAAAAAAGAAAAAAAGAGUAAAAUGCCACUUUACGCUUUUGUGUAAAGAAUAGAUUUUCUUUCUGAGAAAUCAAUCAUCCUGAACGUGCAACCAGAACAAAAUAAAAACUAAAAGAGAAAAAGGGAGGGGAAAAAAUGACAUAAAAUGAAAGAAGAAAAAAAAAGAAAACCAUGAUGGUAACACAACGUGAUCAGUUGCUGCUGCACUGAUAUGAGAUAACGCAAUAAAUGUAAGCAAAGGAAUAAUUUAAUAAUAGUGUUGAAGCGAACAAAGCAGAACCAUGGAUUGAAA